rnacentral:tRNA from 1 species
CAAAGAGUAGUUUAAUGAAAAUAAUAAUUUUGGAGAUUAUUGAUAAUAUGGUUAUAUUUUCUUUGA